UGCUUCGUGAGGGGGCUCGAUUCUGACAGUCUUGGCAUUUACCAGUGCCGUGAGUGGUUAUACCAGUGGCUUCAGAUGUCCUCCUCAUUGAAAGACUCAGAGAUAUCACUGCUUUUGCACAGCAUUGUAUUUCUGUCAGCCAAAUUUCCGAAUGGUCCCAGUCGCCACUGACAGGAAGUCUGAAGCAGUCUGAUUUCUGACUUAUUUGUGCACUAUGAAGCAUAGCUGUCGACAUCGUUUUUUCUAAGGAAAAAACAUUUUAAACUUGGCAAGAGUUUUAUGUUUAAGGGACAAAUCCUCUCAGACCAAAACUGAAAGCAAGUCAAAGUCAAAAGGAUCCCACUCAUUCUCGAUACAGUAGAGUUGUUCUGUUUGCCAUUUAAAGUUUUUAGCUAAAAGCUCCUCUCAUCAGAAGUGACACCCAGUCAUUUCCUCUAUUAAUAGUAUUUUCAGCAAUCCCCUUA